rnacentral:lncRNA from 1 species
CUCAAGGAUUUUGUCCUUUCCUCUUCUCUCAUCGUGAGCCACCUUCUCCUUAUGAGAAAGUGUCUCAAGAUGGGGCCUUAAGGGAAGAAAUGCUCUGUAGGAUCUUUACAAAGCUUUUGCCAGGCUCCUUUAGGUGAGAGUAGGGUUUCAGCCAUCCAUCCCAAAAUGAGCAGCUGUCACCUCUGUGCACUGAAAAUGCCUAAAAUCUGUACCCAUUGUCAGUGGAGGACUCUGUAUGCAGAUGUAUGUGGGGAAGCCAGGUUGGGGUGUGUCUGCUGUAAUGGGUGAUGUUCCCUUCUGGUGUUUUAGCUGUGCUGAACUGGGCCUGUUUGGUGUGGGGGUUGAUUUUAUCGCAUCUUUCAAUGGCAGCUGAAGCCAUUGUGAUCAAAACCGAAAUUAGAGCCAUGUUGUGACAUUUGGAAAGGAUAUAGUGAAAACUCUUUAAAUGUUAUUGGGUCACUGAGAAAGGAUGGGGUUGGUGUUGGCACAGACGCAGCACUUAAGGAGCCUGGGUGUUUCUAAAUAGGUUUCUGCCCUCUUUUUUUUCCUUUUUACAAAUGGUGUUUGACCCCAGUAUUGCGGAGCCAGCUGGGAAACACAGAUGAAGGAGAGCUAUAAAGAUCUCUUUCCAACAGCCCUGUUUUAGGAACCCACCCACUCAGGGCAGAAGUUUGAGAGAAAAUUGAGUUUUGCUGAAGAGCGUCACCCAAAUGGGCACAAAGCCAGGCCAAUGCCCACUGGUCUGAAAGAGAGAGAGUUCUGUUAUAUAAAACUGCUAUUCAAGGGCCCUAUGGAUCCACACAACGUCCAUGAAGGCGAGGUUUAUUUUCACCCUGGAGUGCAGUCACACUCCCACUUCAAGUCUGCCAGGAUCAGCAGCAAUCCUUGUGGAAGUGACCCAACUGUGCAGACAGCCCCAUAAAGAUGAAAAGAAGCUUCAGGAAUAAAAAAAGAGUCAGAAAAGGAUGCAGUCCCCACCUCACUGGGGUGGCCAACUGGUUGCAUAGGACCACAUCAUGUGAAAGGGUGUUUUCAGUAGGGAGACCAAAGCCUGGAGUAUUUUCUGCAGCUCUGAUUGCUGGUGUUGAAGAUGCAGUUCAGUGGAUGCAGGUGCAGAUGGGAUCACAAGGACAGGCAGAGGGAUGGGGACAUUGCCAUUGAGGAGAAGAAAUGAAGGCCUUUUCAUCAAGGAGGUAUGCUUGUUCUCUAGCAAUUAUGCUAGAAGGUGGGGAAAUAAACACGGGGAAAGAAAGAUGGUUUUAAGAUG